AACGAACGCUGGCGGCAGGCCUAACACAUGCAAGUCGAGCGCACCCUUCGGGGUGAGCGGCGGACGGGUGAGUAACGCGUGGGAACGUGCCCUUCUCUGCGGAAUAGCCUCGGGAAACUGAGAGUAAUACCGCAUACGCCCUUUUGGGGAAAGAUUGAUCGGAGAAGGAUCGGCCCGCGUUGGAUUAGGUAGUUGGUGGGGUAAUGGCCCACCAAGCCGACGAUCCAUAGCUGGUUUGAGAGGAUGAUCAGCCACACUGGGACUGAGACACGGCCCAGACUCCUACGGGAGGCAGCAGUGGGGAAUCUUAGACAAUGGGGGCAACCCUGAUCUAGCCAUGCCGCGUGAGUGAUGAAGGCCUUAGGGUUGUAAAGCUCUUUAAGAUGGGAAGAUAAUGACGGUACCAGCAGAAGAAGCCCCGGCUAACUCCGUG
rnacentral:rRNA from 1 species